CCGGUUUGAACUCAGAUCAUGUAAAAUAUUAAAGGUCGAACAGACCUAAUCUUUUAGCUUCUACACCAAAAUUUAAUUUUAAUCCAACAUCGAGGUCGCAAACUUCUUUUUCGAUUUGAACUCUUUAAAGAAAUUACGCUGUUAUCCCUAAGGUAAUUUAAUCUUAUAAUCAUAAAUAAUGGAUCAAAAUUUCAUAAAUAAAUGUUUUAAUUAAAAAAAAGUUUAUUAAAUUUUUCUAUCACCCCAAUAAAAUAAAUUUCACUGAAAAAAAUUAUAUAAUUCUAAAAAUUUUAAACAAUAAAUAUUUAUAAAACUCUAUAGGGUCUUCUCGUCUUUUAAAAGUAUUUAAGCUUUUUAACUUAAAAAUAAAAUUCUAAUAAAUUUAAUUUGAGACAGUAUUUUUCUCGUUCAACCAUUCAUUCCAGCUUUCAAUUAAAAAACUAAUUAUUAUGCUACCUUCGCACGGUCAAAAUACCGCGGCCAUUUAAAAUUCAGUGGGCAGGUUAGACUUUAAAUUAAAAUCAAAAAGACAUGUUUUUGAUAAACAGGCG
rnacentral:rRNA from 1 species